rnacentral:rRNA from 1 species
UUGGCCUCAAAUCAGAUAGGAUCACCCGCUGAACUUAA